rnacentral:rRNA from 1 species
CUAUGCGCCUUGGACCCAGCCCGCCUACAGAAACUCAAAUGAAUUGACGGGGGCCCGCACAAGCGGUGGAGCAUGUUGGUUUAAUUCGAUGAUACGCGAGGAACCUUACCUGGGCUCAAAUGUAUGUUGACGUAUUCUGAAAGGGAUACUUCUUCGGACAAUAUACAAGGUGCUGCAUGGUUGUCGUCAGCUCGUGCCGUGAGGUGUCGGGUUAAGUCCCAUAACGAGCGCAACCCCUUUCCUUAGUUGCCAUCAGGUAAUGCUGGGGACUCUAAGGAUAUUGCCCCGGUUAACGGGGAGGAAGGUGGGGAUGACGUCAAGUCAGUAUGUCCCUUACGUCCAGGGCUACACACGUGCUACAAUGGCCGGUACAAAGGGCAGCUACCUGGUGACAGGAUGCUAAUCUCAAAAGCCGGUCUCAGUUCGGAUCGGAGUCUGCAACUCGACUGCGUGAAGUCGGAAUCGCUAGUAAUCGUGAAUCAGAAUGUCACGGUGAAUACGUUCCCGGGCCUU